CCAGCAGCCGCGGUAAUUCCAGCUCCAAUAGCGUAUAUUAAAGUUGUUGCAGUUAAAAAGCUCGUAGUUGGAUUUCGAAGUCGGAAGACGGGUCAACGACUUAGUUCGUGUGCACCGAGGAUUCCGGCUUCUAUCACUCGGAGACGGCGUCUGCACUUGAUUGGGUGGGCGACGGAUUCGGGGCUGUUACUGUGAGGAAAUCAGAGUGUUCAAAGCAAGCGGUCGCCUGAAUGCGUUAGCAUGGAAUAACAACAACAACCUUUGGUUGGGUUGUUGGUUGACGAACCAAAGGCAUGGUUAAUAGGGAUAGUUGGGGGCAUUUGUAUUCCGUUGUCAGAGGUGAA
rnacentral:rRNA from 1 species